rnacentral:lncRNA from 1 species
AAAUGAACUAACAGAGCAAGAGCAACAAAUUACGAUGUCACGGGUUGUGUGUGUCGCUGAGGGAGAGUAUGGAGACGAGAGAGAAACAACAAAUUGGAUGGGAGAGUAUGGAGACGAGAGAGAAACAACAAAUUGGAUAAGUGAAGAAGGUGGAUUAGGGUUAGACAAUGGUUUCUGAUUUUUUUUUUUUCAAUUGGGACAACAGUAAGGAUGACAGAGAAAAUGUUGGAGUCAGAGAGAUGAAAGAGUAAGGGUCGAGAGGAACGAGAGACAUGAGUAAGGGUUUUGGGGUUUCUUUUUUUUUUAGUUUUGAGAAUGAAAAUUAUUUAAAUAUCCUUGACCUUAAAACUUAGAAUCCAUGAUAAAUGAGGGUAUUUUUGUCUACUAUAAUCCG